CUGAAUAACUCCGAUCACGGGGUGGACUCACCGCGGACACAUAUCCUUCAAGUGUGCGCCUUCUCAUUUGGCGGAGGGAGUAUAUACCACCCCCGUGGGGGAAGCGGGAAACGGAAAAUUGGGUUGCUAUUCCAGAGAGGGAGCGUGAAAAACGUCCCCCACCUCCGGGGGGGGCAGCGGGCGCGCAUUACCCCCUCUCGGAGCUCGAGGAGGGAGAGAAAAAAAAUAACGAGGGAGUUCUCUAUGACGUGUGUUGUCGGAAGGACAACUAUCUAAACCCUUUAAGGAGGAUCUGUUGGAGGGCAAGGCUGGUGCCAGCCGCCGCGAUUCCUCCUCCUCCAAUAGAUAAUAUAAAAGUUGCUGCUGAUAAAAAC
rnacentral:rRNA from 1 species